GGUCCUAUUAAUGGUUUAAACUUUACUCUUAUAAGGUAGAUGAGAGGGUUCGAUUCCCUCUAGGACUA
rfam:Cafeteria roenbergensis virus BV-PW1, complete genome.